UACGUAGGUGGCAAGCGUUGUCCGGAUUUACUGGGCGUAAAGAGCGCGCAGGCGGUCGUUCAAGUCGCGUGUGAAAGCCCCCGGCUCAACUGGGGAGGGUCACGCGAUACUGAUCGACUCGAAGGCAGGAGAGGGAAGUGGAAUUCCCGGUGUAGUGGUGAAAUGCGUAGAUAUCGGGAGGAACACCAGUGGCGAAGGCGACUUCCUGGCCUGUUCUUGACGCUGAGGCGCGAAAGCGUGGGGAGCAAACGGG
rnacentral:rRNA from 1 species